rnacentral:lncRNA from 1 species
ACCAUGACUUAUGUUCAAACUAGAUAUCGUGUGAUAAAGGGAUUAAUACAUGUUCUAUUUAUUAGGCUUUAUUGGACUAUCGAUCCUCAUAUUAAUUGGGUAGUCAUAAUGUCUUGCUAGAGGCCGCUUAUGAUUUAUGGGCCUUGUGGGACUAGGCCUAUUGCCAAUUAAUAUGAGCCUAUUGGGUCACGCACAAAAGAACGU